AUGGCGACGGCGCCAACCCUUUUGGUGGCUCCUCCUCCAAUGACGAUUUUGCUCCUCUCUCCCAGCGCGGCUCUCCAUGCCCGCUCUCACCUCAGCACUUUGCUACGGUGGUCUCUGCCGUCAGGGCAGGAUGGCGUGCAGACCCCACCUAUGGUGGAACCAGGGCUAUUGCCCCCCCCCCCUCGCCGGAUGCACGAUCCCUCCACGCCUUUCCUGUCGGCGCCACCUCUGGUCCUGUCCUGUCAAUUGUCCUUCCCCCUCCUAGUUCUGCACGUGACCCCCUUGUUGUCUCUGACGACGACUCGAGCGGCUCCGAGGGCAUGCACGUCCCCCUCCUGCAUGCAGUCUCAUCGGACUCCCUGGACGCGGUGCAUGCUCCCGCGGGGCCGGCUCUGGCCCCACCUAUCAUCUGCCCGCUGCCCAGGGUGGCGGCCGUUGACCCGCCUGCUCCUCCUGCUCACGCAGGGUACGGGGUGGUGGGCCCCGUGCUUCGAUCCGCUUCGUCGGCCUUCGUCCCCGUCGCCUCGAUCAACCCAGCUCCCCCAGCGUCGCCCACCUUCACUUUUUCUGCCGGAGAAUCAUCAAGUGCCAACGGUAACUCUCCCUCUCUUCCAUCUUCAAUUCUUACAACUCCUCCUCCGGCUUCUAACUCUAACUCUGGACCUGCUGCGGCCUACACAGCACUCCCUCUUCAGGACCUUGACACCCACGACUGCACCGCUCGCAAAGAGCGCCGCAAGAACGCCCGCGAUCGCUCUGUCUCUAAGGACAAGCUUCGUAGGAGCGCACACCUUGCUGCCAAGGAAGCCAAGUACUCCCCCAUACUCGCAAGAGCCGUCAAGGUCAAGGCGGCCCGCCUCUCCGCCUCCGACGUGGACACGGCCAUUGGACGUGCUAUCCAGGACGCCCGCCUCGAUGCUUCUGACGGACCCCCCGCCUCGGCCGAAGACUUGGCCACGAUCGCGCUCCUCUGUGGCGCAGAUGACGGCCACCUCGACGCCAUCCUCUCCUCCGAGGAGGCCGCUUCUGGUGACGACACCGCGCCAUGAUCGCUGA
rnacentral:rRNA from 1 species